UUUAUUAAAAAAAAAAUGGAAGUAUGAGAUAGAAAUAUAGUAACGUAGCAUCAAAAGAAAAUUUUGUAUUAUAAUAGGAUAUUGAUUUUGUUAUUGAGAAUAUUCAAUUUUGGUUCAUAUUUA